rnacentral:rRNA from 1 species
GGGAUGACGUCAAGUCCUCAUGGCCCUUAUGGCCAGGGCUUCACACGUAAUACAAUGGUCGGUACAGAGGGUCGCCAAACCGCAAGGUGGAGCCAAUCCCAGAAAGCCGAUCGUAGUCCGGAUUGAGGUCUGCAACUCGACCUCAUGAAGUCGGAAUCGCUAGUAAUCGCGGAUCAGCAUGUCGCGGUGAAUACGUUCCCGGGCCUUGUACACACCGCCCGUCACACCAUGGGAGUGGGUUUUACCAGAAGUAGGUAGUCUAACCUUCGGGAGGACGCUUACCACGGUAGUAUUCAUGACUGGGGUGAAGUCGUAACAAGGUAGCCGUAUCGGAAGGUGCGGCUGGAUCACCUCCUUU